rnacentral:lncRNA from 1 species
AAUUUAUUACGAAUGUUGGUUGAAGGAAUUGCAUUUCAUUAUAAUGACAAGAGUUCUUGAGAUCAAGAUAUUAAUCUGUUGAAUUAUUCAUCUCAUGAAUAUUCAUUAAUAAUUUGCAUAUUAAUCUCAGUGUGUAUUUUUGAAAUCUCAGUGUGUAAUUAACAAUUCUCAGUGUGCGUUUUUCAAUUUAUUUCAUCUCAGUGUGUCUUUUUAAAAUCUCAGUGUGUAAUUUUGAAUUCUCAG